rnacentral:rRNA from 1 species
GUAGGGUGCGAGCGUUGUCCGGAAUUAUUGGGCGUAAAGGGCUCGUAGGCGGUUUGUCGCGUCGGGAGUGAAAACCAGGUGCUUAACACCUGGCUUGCUUUCGAUACGGGCAGACUAGAGGUAUUCAGGGGAGAACGGAAUUCCUGGUGUAGCGGUGAAAUGCGCAGAUAUCAGGAGGAACACCGGUGGCGAAGGCGGUUCUCUGGGAAUAUCCUGACGCUGAGGAGCGAAAGUGUGGGGAGCGAACAGGAUUAGAUACCCUGGUAGUCCACACCGUAAACGUUGGGCGCUAGGUGUGGGGUCCAUUCCACGGAUUCCGUGCCGCAGCUAACGCAUUAAGCGCCCCGCCUGGGGAGUACGGCCGCAAGGCUAAA